GGGUAAGUCAUGUUUUGCAGUGUCCCAUCGAACUGCUUUUAACCUCCAGUUGUAAAUCCAAAUAACAGUGUCUGGCUGGGAGACUGGGGAAUGCAGUUUGUCCAGUUCUGCUGUCAUAUAAGCUCCAUAUUCAGCACAGAUUCAGCUGCAUUAUCAGUGCCUCCUCUCUGCUGUUGACAAUGAAGUGCUGCACAGUCAGGAAAAAGAAUGUCAAGAGCUUUUUUGGCCAUCUUGUUGAGAUGAUGUUCAGCCAGAAAAUAGAGGACAAAAAGACUACUCAAGGCCAUUGAAAACAUAAAAAUCGGGAAAAAAAAAUUAAAUUAGUUGACAAGAGCUGAAGAAGUUUCUGACGAGAAGUUGCUACGACAAAAGAUUUUCUCCAAAAUAUACAGGAUGCCAUGGAGACUGACUGAAAAAAAGCUCUUAAUCCCUGCUUUGCUGGUGCUGACAGGAGAAUAGAUCUCUAGACACAUAGCAUAUUUGGUAAGCAGGAAGCUGGAGACUGAGGUGGUCAAAAGGGUGAAAACUUGCCUGUCUGUGGCAGUCCAGCUUUUCCUCAUAACUAUAUCACAGGAUAUUAAUUUGCCAAACAGGCUAUAAUCCAGCUACAAAAAUCUGGGCUUUGGGGAUUGCUAGUCAUGAAGCACAUGACUUUACAGAAAAGCUGGUGAAUGGUUUUAUGCCAGGAACGGUGCAAAAUAAACUCACUUAGCAACCUGAGAGAAUAUUUACAGUCUACAGAUUUAACUACACAGAUGUAGAGGAAGGUGAGCCCUCCAUCUUCUGUAAUUUGAGACGACUCAAAGAAUGCUUCUUGGAGAGAAUUCCAUUUUAAUUUUUUCCCUGUUUUUUACUUAAUACACUUCUAAUGCCGUACACUUGUGUUGUUCUUACUUGAACAUCAACGAUUUUUAUGUUGGAGUUGUAUGAUAAACUUGCAUUUGAUUGACAUCAAGUUAUGCAGGUCACAGAUCCAUAAUCCAAAACUUACAGCAAUCUUGGCUCAGACAGGUUUAUUAGAUAAAGCGCAGUGUCCCACCUAUUGCUUUUAUUUCUACCUGCUACCAUUCUGGAGUAGUGAAUUUUGGAGAGAUCACAUUAUUUUUCUGUGGAAAUGUAUAUGUUUCUAUUUCAGGAAUUGCUAAUCAGACAAGGAAGGGAAAUUCUCCUUAACAAGUGUCAGGCCCAGUGGAGCUUCUGCCGUGCAUGAUCCAAACUAACUCCAGGAAGAGCAGCUGUCCUUGCUCUCUUCCUGUAGGGAUGAGGAGGCUCCUGUGCUGGGGCCAGCCCUGGUAAGAAAAAGGGAGGAUGUUGCUGGCGUCCUAAGUAGCGGUCUCAUCAAUGCUACAGUGCACUCAGCAGGACCCAAACUGAUGUCUGAUGAUGUCUGUGCUUUGUCGGUGUCCUAAAUGACUCAGGGGACACUGAACUAUUGUGUCACUCAAGCUUGUUCAUAAUUUAGGAUAACUUGGUUCCUACAAUCACAGCAAUAGAGACACAAUUGAAUUAAUCUAUUUAUGCUGCAUAACUUGGCACCUCUGAAACUGUUGCUGAAUGAUUUCGUAUUCCUUGUAGAGAUCCAAUAAAAUCUGUAGAAAAGAGCAAUAAACACUAGCAACAGAUCAUUUCAGUUUUAGUGCAGUAUAUUUCUUUGUGACUGUAAGAAGGAUAACGUGCAUGAAAAAAAUAAAUGACCCUUCUCCUUGACUGCGAAGUGUUGCUGAUUUUUCUUACUGUCCUUCUAAGUAAGAAACUUCAGUUUCUCUUUCAGGAGGGCUAAAUUGAUGGUAAUGUUGACAGACAAAAAGAAAAUCAAUUACAUUUUCAAUGCAGAUAUUAAUUUAGAGGUGGUCUGUGGACUAAUGUUACAAGAAAUUUUACUUUAAAAUUACAUUAUGACUGACUAACAUUAAUCUGUUUCAUUUGUAAGGUAUGCAUACUAAAUAACUGAUAUAAAUAGUUGCUCCUAUUGAAAAAACACUCAACUACCAAUAAAAUUCAAGUAUAAAACCGAUGAGACAGCUUUUUAGGCACCACCCCAAUUACUCCAGGAGUUCACAAAGCAACAUCUGCAGUCAUUAAAUAGUAUCUAUUUACUGUAGAAUUUACUGAUUAGAGCAAUUAAUCUCUUAAAACAUUUGCUUUGACUCCCUUAGAGCACACAUCUCUCUCAGGCUAUUGAAGCAUUUCUCUGGCUGCAUAUUCUAAGUCAAGAAGAUACCCACUGAUUCAGUAGACUUUGGAUUAGUUCCUUGGCUGUUGUUCAAUACAGCAUGGAAAACUUUUCCCUAUCUGUCAUGUGCUAAGUAUGGAAUACGAUCACACAAUCUCUAUGCAGUGUUCAUACUGCUUCUUACAUCUUGAUAGAAUCCAGAGUAACAGACAGCUCAGCUGUGCUACAUAAUGGAAAAGAAUGAAUAAAACAAGUAGAUCAGGGUCUGUACAAUAUAAUGCAGAAGUACCAUUGCAAGGAGCCAGCCAAUGUUACAAAUCCUGUUUCAGUGCUGGGCUUGCAAGACUCAGGCUAUUCUCCAGAAUUCUUGAUUGUGAACUUUAACUCAUGCACAGAUAAAACUUGGAUCCAUUGAGCCUAUUACUCAAAGCUCUGUGGGAAAGUAGGUGUACAUCUGGGUCUGUUCCAGCCCUGGAAGCAGUACAGCUGUAUUAACAAUGUGCUUCGUGUAUCACUAAAUGCCCUGCUGGACUUGAUGUUUUGUAUCCCUAGCACGGAUGAUCAACAGAGCACAUUACCUGCUUAAGGAUAAAUGAGAGUUGGCUGCAUUUGCCAAAUGUGAAUCAGUGUUUCUGUUAGAUGUAGUGUGUAAACUUGAAGUUAUAUACAGUUCUUUUAGACCACCAGUUCCAUAGGAUUCUUAUUAUCUUUUUGAUUGUUAAUAAUAAUAAAAAAAAGAAUGUUGGCAAGAAAAACAACUGUAGGCUAAUCACAUAUCAAAAAAUGUUAUUAAAAAUAAAAUUAUAUCUCAAAGUUUUUAAUAGGUUUUUGCUGUAAUAUAAUUACAUACUAAAAACAAAUUGAAAAUUGGUAUUUUAUCACAGAAUCAUAGAAUAUCUUGGGUUGGAAAGAACCUUAAAGUCUACCUAGUUCCAACCUCUGCUUUGGGCAUGGCUGCCACCCCCCAGCUCAGCUGCCCAGGCCCCAUCUAACUUGGUUUCCAAUACCUCCAGGGAUGGGGCACUCACAAUUUCUCUGGGCAGUUGUGCCAGUGCCUCACCACCCUCUGAGAAAAAAGAAAUCCUGAUGUGUAAUCUAAAUCUCCUACCUUUUAGUUUGAAAACAUUACCCCAAGUGAUGAUUAAAGUAUUGUAUUAAAUGCUUCCUUACAUUGCUAUAAGAGGGCCUGAACCUUGGAGAUUAAAUGGAAGAAAAAGAAAAAGCCAGUGUAAGAUGUAGUAAGUAAGAAUAAGAGUAAAUAUUUGAAAUGUAUUGGAGCAGGUCCGGAGGAGGACCAUGAAGAUGAUCAGAGGGCUGGAACAUCUCCCACAUGAGGACAGCCUGAGAGAGCUGGGGUGCUUCAGUAUGGAGAAGGCUCUGAGGAGACCUUAUAGUGGCCUUCCAGUACCUGAAGUAUGCCUACAGGAAAGCUGGGGAGGGACUUUUUGUAAGAGCUACAGGAUGAGGGGAAAUGGUUUUAAACUGAAAGAGGGUAGAUUUAGAUUAGAUAUUAUGAAGAAAUUCUUAACUGUGAGGGUGGUGAGACACUGGAACAGGUUGCCCAGUGAGGUUGUGAAUGACCCUUCCCUGGACGCAUUCAAGGCCAGGCUGGAUGGGGCUGUGAACAACCUGGUGUAGAGGGACAUAUCCCUGCCUACAGCAGGGGGAUUGGAACUAGGUGAUCUUAAAGGUCCCUUCCAACCCAAACCAUUCUAUGAUUCUAUUCUAUGAAAUUAAUUAGUUAAUAAUAAUAGUUCUGUAUUGUAAUUGAAAGCCUUAAAAAAAAGUAUAUUCUUACAUAUGAUCAAAGUAUAUCACAAAGAAACAGAAAAAAAAAAAAAGCUAAAGAAAGGUCAAUGUCAGUUGAAGUUAUUCAGGACAGUAUAUCAGUGGAUAUAUAUAUCAUGGAUCCAUUUAAUCAUGUUGAUCUGUUGAACUGCAGGUAUGCAGAUUCAAAUAAGAUAAUUCUGAGAUUCAGAAUUAUAUUUACAGUUCAUUUUAAAAUGCUGGCCCAAGGAAAAUUAUUGUUGUCUGGCAAAGUAUCUCUUAGUCUGUUAUUCUGCUUUGUACAAAUGUAUUUAAAACAAAUGUAUGUAUGUCGAAGGACAUUUGAAAGACAGGGAUUUUUAGUAGAAAUUUUGUGUGAGUCUUCUGAAUCUACUCAGAAAUUUAAAAUAUCAGGAGCCUUACAGGAUUUACCUUCCCAAGGAUUGACAAACAGGCUGAUUCGGUAAGAUGAAACAGUAAUUAAGUACUUUCAUAUAUUCAGUUCCAGACGGGUUAGUAACACAUUCCAAGCUGAUAUGAAUGGCACAAUUUGUCCUCUGGAAUUGCAUCUUUCUCUCCACUAAGAAUGAAGUGAAGGCCAGAGAGGUGAAGCUCCAUUCCUAUAACCAGGCUUGCACAUCUUUACACUCUGUAAGUCUGGCUCAGCUACAGAUACUUAUGCACACGAAUAACCUUUUCACAUCAAUAUCCUCCUGAAGACCACAGAGUAACAGUUAACUGAAGAAAAGAAUGUGUAUACAUCUCUAGGGUCAUACCUCAUUCUGUGUCUCUAUUUUUGAAUAUGUUUCCAAUUCAGAGGUUACUGUUAAAAAUUCUUGCACAUCAUAAGGCUUAUGUUCAGGAAAGAGGGUGUCAUCAAUGACUGUGUAUCUCAGGGCAUUAUGUCCUUUCUAAGGAAACAGAAAACUGUGGUGAGUAGCAGCGAAGAAAUUGUCUAGUAUAAAACUGAAACUGAAAUUUAUUUUCAAAGUGGAGAAAAGGGGGUGCCAAGAAGGAACACUUGCCUGAUCCAAACACACUGGCAUCUACUUUGGUGUUUUUAGUUCAGACUGUGAAUCCAAAAUAUAAUCCUGUUUUCAUUGACAGUGAAGAUCUUAACCAGCAUAGAUAUUGGCUUGGAUUGCCCAACCAAAAUCCCAGGAGUUGCUCAUUAAUUCAGCAAGCCACAUUUCCUGUAAGAGAGAAUUACCUGAAGAUAGAUUGACAAUGGUGAUCUGUUUCAGUCUCUUUCAUUACUAGAUGCUUUAGCUAUUGUUUUUCCCUGGGACAAUAGUUUUUAUUACUGCUUAUCCAUAUUUCCAGAAAUAUAGCAAAUCAUGUGCAUCUUGAAAUAAAAUGGAAGCAUGAAAAUGAUACUAAAAAUCAUUCAAAAGUCGUUGAAAAUAAAAUAUUUGUUUGUUUCAGACUUAGAAAAUAUACAGCCAGACAAUAUAAAUUAGGUAAUUUCCUUACCUGUUUCACUCUAACCUAGACAGGUUCAACAAGUUCAGAAACACUGGUGAAAAGGCAAGAUAAGAGGUAGGUAGUCUGGGCUAGCUUGUGUAUGUAUAUUCAUGAGGUGGGAUGACUGUCAGUGAGAUAUUGGUGGGAGUACUGGGUCACUUGCCUGGGUUUUGGAAUGAAAUAUCCAAAGAAAAACCAUCUUGUGUGAUCUUGAAAAUCAAUUCAUUAACAGGAAAGCUGUGUCACAUGGAGUAGUGCAUAUUAUUUCUAUUUGUAAAUAUUUUCAAGAUGCGAAAAUGACAAAGAAGGCCACACAAAUACUGUAAAAAAAGAUAGAAAUAACAGAUCCAGUACUUAUUUAGGAAAGUAAACAAAACAAAACAAAUAAACAUUUCUUUUCUCUUUUGUUUGGUGACACUCCGGCUGCAAAAAUUAGAGUUAUGGCUCUUCUAACUUCCCAGUACAAAAGAAAUACUGUUCUUUGUUCUGUCCGAAUGCCUAGGUUUUCAUGGGUUGGGUUUUCAUGGGUUGGGUUUUCAUGACUCAUUUCUCCUUUACUGCAUCUGGGUGCUGGUACCUGGAGAAAUGAAUAAGAAUGGGUAGAACAUACCCGUCUUGGUUAUCCUGCAAAUCUGAAAGUGUUUUGAUAUUCUGGUCCACACUGAUGGCAUGAGUAGUUUUUCUCUUUUAUCUCUGUCAAGAAUUUUUAGAUUUGAGAUAUCUGCUUUACAAUUCAGGUGGAGCAUGAGAGAGAACCUGGGCUGAAGUUAAAUAUGUCACAUCCAGAACACAGCAUGAAUAAUUUUCCUCUGAUUUACAGUUUGGUGUAACUUGUUAUGAAGAUGUCAGUAGUUUGUCUUUUUCUCCUUUUAAAGUGGUGACACAGUGAAUGACCAGAACAUGCUCUCUGCAUUGAUUAGUAGUAGAAGCUUUAGCAUGACUAGCUCUAAACAGACAUUUGAAAGACGAGAGAGAAGAAUUUUUUAAAAUGGCACAGUGUGAAAAUUUCACUUGUAGGGUCUUUAUAUGGAGCAAAGAGGUUAUCCACCUAAGGACAAAUAUAAAGUGCAAUGAAAGCUCAAUUUAAAAGCAAGACACCUGCAGCUUGCAGCUCAAUAAACUCUUUUUUUUUCUUUUUUUCUUUUUUUUUUUGGGGGGGGGAGGAAAAUUAAUAGUGAAAGAUUGAGACUAAUUUUCAUGUUUUUAACUUCAAUACUCAAGUAUUAUCUGUUCAUCCAAUGUUUUGCUGCAACCUGUGGUUACUGUGUCUACCAUCCACACUAGACGAUGGGAAGAGGACCUGCACAAUAGGAAAUGUUCUUGCUUAACCCCAGGCAACAGCCCUAACUGAGCAUGAUAAUUCAAAAGAAGGAUUGAUCAAAAUGGGAAACUGCAGACCUCUGGUGACAUUGCAAAUGAGGCUCUGUAAUCUGCAGUGAACCAUGCACUGAAUUUCUGCCUCUGCAGUAUGAGACUGAGAGGAAGAAUGCAUGGAGUGAUACCCCAGAUGCAGUGUGGGAGUGUUUGCUGAGCUACACCAGACUACACCAGAAAGAGAGGAAAAUUCUCUUUACACUGGAUAACUUAAAACUGCACUGAUUCCAAGAAACUGCAUUGACUCCAAGAACUGAUGAAGGAACUUGACAAGUAUCAUGUAAACGUCUCCUGGCACAGAGAUAUGACUUGGCCUAAGAGAUACCCUUCAUGACUGUUGUCUAAUACCAACAUGUUUUAAAUGGCACCCUUAUGUCUAGCAUUGCUUUUGGCCUUUCUCCUCCUCACAUCCUCAUAGCCUUAGCAAUGUCUAGCUGUGGGUAUUCCUCCAACCCCAUAUCAUCCACUCUUUAAAUUGAAUUGGAAGAUUUGGACGCUUUUCUUUCAUUAAAAUGUAAAACAAACAAAAGAAAAAAAUUGAAACAACAACAACAAAACAAACAAACAAACAAACAAAAAAACCAACCCACAAACAAAACCAAAACAAAACAGAACACAGGUUGAACUAUGACAGCACACACGUCAGUGCAACCCAGGCUCAGGUCUUUCUGGCAGAUACCUGGCAAGGAGUGCGCAAGUAUGACAAUGGUGCAGUGGUAUUCUGCUGUAACACCAUCCUGCCCUUGUGCUGUGCUCUGUAAGGGAUGUAGGCUUUGUGACUGCUUGGCUCAGUGCACAGACAGUGUUUCAUGAUCUUGAAAGUUUUACCAAAUUAACAAUCUUUACUGAAGCAUAGAUGUAGCGGAGCCUCAUCCAACACUAUGAAUAGGAUAAACAUGCUGGGUUACAUUCAUUUUGCACUUCAUAUUUGUAUAUAAAUCUAAAAUAACUCUGUAAAAACAUGAAAAGUAAGUUUGCACAGUGAAGGCAAAAGGAUGCACUGGUCAGGAUGCGCUCACUUUUUAGGCUUUCAGAUGAGGUAUCUUAAAUAGGAGCUUAAUUCCUCCAGGUGCUCUUCUCAAAGGAAAUACAGAUGUCUUCCACAUAAAGGAUCAGCUUUGUAUAGAAAAGGUCACUGAAGUUACUCCAAUUAUGUUUUCUAAGAAUUAUGGUUUAUCUGUCAUUUGCUACAAAUUGUCUCAUUGUCUUCCUGCCUCUGAACACCUCAACUGCUGAAUUUCUUAAAAAAAUAAAUAAAUAAAAUGAAAUUGCACCCAGAGUUAUUUUCUGGUCCUUUUAUAAAAGACUGAAUGGUAAACGCACAGGUUACAUUUCUGUGUUGUCAUCUUUUGGUCUGACUGUUACUCUCCUAUGAGAACUGAUCUCACUCUCUGGUUAAUAACUAACACUUGUAAGGUAUCAAAAACAUCAUUCAUUCACAUUUUUUUCUUAAAUACAGAAUUAAUUUAAUUCACAAUGAAC
ensembl:lncRNA